AUUUCAUCAGACCAGCAUCUGUGCUAAACUUGCAAAAAAUGACAUCUUUGGCUCUGGUUUUGGUAUUUUGUGCCUUUGUCUCUUUAAGCAAUUCUGCCUGCUACUUGACCCUUCUAAAACAAGGGGAAAAACAUUGUGUCGAUGACUAUGAUAACUCCAAGCAUCCAAUGGGAAGUACUUGGACAAACGGCAGAUGUAACAGAUGUAUCUGCUCCCUCGGGGAAAUGGAGUGCUGU